AAUAAACCAAUUUUUCACUUUUUACAUACAAUUUUUGACUCUUCGUCUUAUUCAAAACUUUUUUGCGAUUGAUAUUUUUAUUUUUAUUAGAUGAUAAAUUAUGAAUAGUACUUUACGUGUGACUAAUUUUUUUCUAAUUUCCUAAAAAUUUUUCAAAUAAGAUGGAUGGUUAAACCUUGAAACCGGAGAAU
rnacentral:pre_miRNA from 1 species